UUUUAGUGUUUAUUGUUGGUUGGUCUUCUUUCCUCCCUUUUCGGUUUACCAUUGUUUUUUUUGUUUUGUUUUUUGUUUGUAUUUCUUAGUGAUGGUAAAAAUGGAACAAUUGUGAGAUGAAAUCCUUUGGAACAACUGAAAGAUUGGAUCUUCUGAAACAUUUGAAACACCUCCGCACAGCAACAUCUGGAGGUCAAACUGGUGGAAAUGAGCCUGAGCUCAUGUGAAGAUGGGAGAACGUUCUACUGCAAAGGCCGGUUCCUCAGCAUCAGCAGAAGUCUGUUGGCAGCAGACAGGAGGGUGGAGCAGGUCAGUCUGCAGCUGAUCAGCUGCUGAUUACCAAUACAACAUAAGUCAAAGGUCAAAGAGACACAAAGGUCAGACUUAAGUCCCGACUGUCCUCGUGGUUGGAUACGGGCUGUAUGCGGGUGAAAAAUGGUCAAACCUGUAAGAGGUUUUAAGAUUGUGGAUCCCUCGGUGAGCCUAGAGGAAGAAAGUGUUCUUUUUUUACAAUUGGUUGUAGUUAACGCUCAUGCAACACGUUAGGGGAAGUUGGUGUGUCGUACACAUUUGUCAUUUUUUUCAACCCCCACCCCACAUCCAGCAGAAAACACAGGGAGCCCGUUAGUGUCGUUCACGUGAUGAGUUCGCGCACUUCGUCCAGCAUCAAAAAAAUCGCCACGACAACAUGUUAAAACACCAAAAACACAGAUUUAAUCUGUGGGUCUUUAAGAUGCACCCAUUCCUGCCUGCAACCCAGGCAUGGACAACCCAAAAACCCAAAGUAUCCCAAAUCUUCAAUGCAAAAAAUCUCAUCACAGGGAAUCCAACAUAAAGACGGCAGGAGAGGAAAACUGGACUGAAGUCAAGGGGCAGCAGCAAAGAACUCUGGGAGGGCAGGACUUCAAUGACUCAACAACACACUGGCUGGAGUUCUGAGCAGCUGAAACCAAAGCAAGCUCCUCUGUGUUUGAGGAAGAACCACAAAAGCAUGCAGCAGGUAGAACAUGGAGCCAACACAAACACACACAGACUGCACAGCAUGAAAAGGUGCCUUCAGCCUUCAUGCAGCCCCCCUCCCGUGUGGAUCAGUGUUGUUUACAGGAGCAGGUAGACUGUGCGUUUGUUGUCUCAGUUCCAUCGCUGUCACCGCGUCCCCUUCAAGCACCAGAAGCCCGGCUGAGCCUGAAUUAUCCAAACGGUUCCACUCCAGGCGAUUCAGCAGCGCGGCACUAACGCUCAGCGACAGCUGGCUCACGAGGAGGAGAACACGCCGCCGCCGCCGCAGCAUUUCAGCCAUGCAGCACUUAAAUAAUAAAACCCUCAUGAGUUCGUCUGAUUGUUUAAUUGUUUAACCGAUGUUUAAUUCAUCCUCCGUCUUGUUUCGGCAGAAAAUGUGUCACAGAAAACAGAAGACAGGGAAGUGCUCUCCGAUGUUUAAGGAGCUCAGCCAGUUAUUUCCCAAGUGAGCAGCCGCCAAAGCCAAUCCAGCCGCUGAGUCUGCUCUCUCUCAGCAAGACAGCAGCUGAAGUGGAAGCUGAACUCCUGCACUGCAGAACACCAUCCAGCAGGAAGUGGCCUGAAACGGGGCAGGAAACGCUGUUCCACAUGGAGUAAGGGCUCACUGCAGCUUCAUCUGAAAGCAAAGUGAUGGUGGACAGGUGGCAGCCCCAUCACUGACACAGAGGAAGCUGAAAAUGCUGGAGCACAGGGAUGCACAGUGGCAUCCAGGGUAACCUCUGAACAGACUUUCUGCUGUAGUUUCUGCGUUAACCACAGAUGAAAUGUUUCUUCUGUUUUUUUACACCGUUCACAAACUUUCCAGUAAUCCGCCGCACUUUAACACCUUCUGUUGACUUUGACGCCCACACAUUGUUACUCUUCAGCACACUAAGGCUAAAGCCUACACAUUCAAGCACAGCCGACUGAAUCACAGGAAGAAACAUUAAUGAUCUGAGCAUGAAUCAAACCGAAAUGCAUCUUUCUUUGACAGCAAGCAAUCUGUUUUUAUUUGUCUUUUGUAUCCUGGAUGAAUAUUCUUCAGGCUGAUAGAAUAAUUGUGUUUGGACGUGCCUUUGCCUUCAAUGCCGGACUUUUAAGGACUCAAUCGGAAGAAUAUGGUGUGGUUAACAUGUUCUCAUUUUUGUGAUCAUGGAGGAAAUAUAUAAGGAGAAUUCAUCUUAAAAUUGCAGUUCUGAGUAUUUCUUUAUUCAAAUCAUUUUGAGUCAGCAAGAACGAAAAAAUGUUAUUUGAAAAAAGUCGUUGUUGUGACAUGGAAAAUACACCGGACUGAAACUGUGUCCUAGAAAACAACACAGGUUUUUAGAUCUGGGAUAAAAACAGCAUAAUCAUCAUUAAAGACCCCUGGAAACGCUUUGAAAAUAAAUCAAAUGAUGAUCGGUGUUGAUGUUUAAAAGAAUCUCCCAAAACUGACUGAAAAAGUGUGAACUGAAGUCCUGCAGGUCUCUGUCCUUAACAUGGUCUGUGCACAUUUGACCCUCCCACAGGGUAAAAUCCAGGUGUGACUGACAGACGCAUGAGAUGACCUGAGGCUCUUUGAAGACCCUGACCUGGAGCAGUUUUCCAGGUUAGUUCUCUGCUGUGAUGCUUGACUGAGCUGUGAACUGUGGCGGUUUGAUCAAACCCAUUUUCAUCACCUCUCUCUUGUUUUUUACCCCGCCGCCCCCUCGAAAAAGAAUCAGUGUUUGGUUUGCUGAGUAUACAAUAAAUAAAGGAGCCGUCGCUGAUUAAACUACCAUCAUCACAUCACAGGCCAGGAUGAAUACAGCUAUUCCCCAAAUGAAAUUCAUUUAAACAAAUGUGAAAACCUUUAAUUUUCGUCAAUGUUUCAGCUCAUUUUCAGUCACAUUGUUGAAUCUGCAGCUCAUGACUGAUCUGGAAGCUUCCGCCUCUCCUGGGGUGUUGGGAAGAUGCCUGCAGGUGGGGGGGUUUGGUGGAGUGCUCCCCUUUGAGCCAACUCAGGGUCUGCUACAAAAAAAAAAAAAA